rnacentral:rRNA from 1 species
UGGGGAAUAUUGCGCAAUGGUCGAAAGACUGACGCAGCGACGCCGCGUGUGGGAGGAAGCCCUUCGGGGUGUAAACCACUGUCGGGAGGGACGAACCGCGGACGGGCAAAUAGCCCGGACGCCUGACGGUACCUCCAAAGGAAGCACCGGCUAACUCCGUGCCAGCAGCCGCGGUAAGACGGAGGGUGCAAGCGUUGUUCGGAAUUACUGGGCGUAAAGCGCGGGCAGGUGGUCUUUUAAGUCCUUUGUGAAAUCCCGGGGCUCAACUCCGGAUGUGCAUAGGAUACUGGAAGACUUGAGACUGGUAGAGGCGAGCGGAAUUCCUGGUGUAGCGGUGGAAUGCGUAGAUAUCAGGAAGAACACCGGUGGCGAAGGCGGCUCGCUGGGCCAGUUCUGACACUCAUCCGCGAAAGCGUGGGGAGCAAACAGG